rnacentral:rRNA from 1 species
GUUGAACGCUGGCGGCAGGCCUAACACAUGCAAGUCGAACGAGUGGCGGACGGGUGAGAAUUGUAUGGGAAACUGCUCGAUUGAGGGGGAUAACUACUGGAAACGGUAGCUAAUACCGCCUAACAUGGGAUGUGCCCAGAUGGGGUUAGCUAGUGGGUGGGGUAAUGGCUCACCUAGCCGACGAUCCCUAGCUGGUCUGGGAGGAUGACCAGCCACACUAGAACUGAGCCACGGUCCUGACUCCUACGGGAGGCAGCGGUGGGGAAUGUAGCACAAUGGGCGCAAGCCUGAGGCAGCCAUGCCGAGUGUAUGAAGAAGUGCUUCGUGUUGUAAAGUACUUUCAGCGAGGAGGCGUUACUCGCAGAAGAAGCACCGGCUAACUCCGUGCCAGCAGCCGCGGUAAUUC